rnacentral:lncRNA from 1 species
GGUGCGCCGGUUAAAACUUUGAUUGAGGUGAAAGUGAAGGAGUGUGCGAGCCAGCCGUGUGUCUGGGCGUGACAAGCACGCUCUUCAUAAGCAAGCAAAGCAUCGCGUGCAAGCUACGCGUGUUUGAUGGAAACCACCAAAGGUUGAUCAAUCUUUAUCGGAGAUCGACGUCAGAUCAGUGUUACUCGGGACGCGAGCUACCAAAAGUGUCCUCUCUCUCUCUUCUUUUUUUGUUCUUCUCCAAUAAUAACGG